CUAGCGUUGCUCGGAAUCACUGGGCGUAAAGCGCACGUAGGCGGAUUGCUAAGUCAGGGGUGAAAACCUGGAGCUCAACUCCAGAACUGCCUUUGAUACUGGUGAUCUUGAGUCCGGGAGAGGUGAGUGGAACUGCGAGUGUAGAGGUGAAAUUCGUAGAUAUUCGCAAGAACACCAGUGGCGAAGGCGGCUCACUGGCCCGAUACUGACGCUGAGGCACGAAAGCGUGGGGAGCAAACAGG
rnacentral:rRNA from 1 species